CGAAGGUCACACGACAUGUCGUCUCAGUGUUUACCUUGGGUACGGACAGCUUCAGGCUCUUGACGGGCUGCGGCUGCUCAAACACCUGGACCUCCUCGACGAUGUGGGCCCCGGUCUGCAGCAGCACCGCUUUGUAGAUGUUGAGAGUGACCUCAGCUCUGCAGGAGGAGUCACGGUCGGUCGUCAGAGGUCGCUUGCUCACCUUGUUCCUCAGGAUGAUGGCGUCCUCGCGGCUAACGUCCAGGGCUAACACAGCAUCCCGGGCGCCGACGUACAGCAUGUCUCCACCCUCGCUGAGAAGCAGAGUGGUGGUGUUGCUGACAUCGUGGCUACUGAAGCGGGCUCCACCCACCUGGAGCUCCGCCCAGAUUCCCCCUCUUAGUGCUUAACGAGUCAACAUGCAUCAGACCCCACCCCCAGGGCCGUGGUCUUCUUCUUCUCUGUACUCACCUGUAGGGAAGGAGACUCUGGGAGUCAG